rnacentral:tRNA from 1 species
GCCUUCGGGGUGUAGCUGGAAGCACACUCGACUCGCAUUCGGGAGGCCUGGUGUUCGAAUUCCAGCGAGGAUA